rnacentral:rRNA from 1 species
CAGUAGCCGCGGUAAUACGUAGGGUGCGAGCGUUAAUCGGAAUUACUGGGCGUAAAGCGUGCGCAGGCGGUUCGUUAAGACAGAUGUGAAAUCCCCGGGCUUAACCUGGGAACUGCAUUUGUGACUGACGGGCUAGAGUAUGGCAGAGGGGGGUAGAAUUCCACGUGUAGCAGUGAAAUGCGUAGAGAUGUGGAGGAAUACCGAUGGCGAAGGCAGCCCCCUGGGCCAAUACUGACGCUCAUGCACGAAAGCGUGGGGAGCAAACAGGAUUAGAUACCCGGGUAGUCCCUGUCUCUUAUAC